rnacentral:rRNA from 1 species
GAUGAACGCUGGCGGCGUGCCUAAUACAUGCAAGUCGAGCGAACAGACGAGGAGCUUGCUCCUUCCACGUUAGCGGCGGACGGGUGAGUAACACGUAGGUCACCUACCUAUAAGACUGGGAAAACUUCGGGAAACCGGAGCUAAUCCGGGAUAAUAUUUCGAACCGCAUGGUUGGUUGGUGAAAGAUGGCGUUGGUAUCACUUAUAGAUGGACCUGCGCCGUAGUGGCUGGUUGGUAAGGUAACGGGUUACCAAGGGAACGAUACGUAUGCGACCUGAGAGGGUGAUCGGCCACCCUGGAACGGAACCAGCCUCCAGGGUCCUGCGGUACGCAGCAGUAGGGUACCGUACGCAGUGGGGGGAAACCUGACGGAGCGAGGCGGAGUCAGAGAUGAAGAUCUUCGGAUCGGAAAGCUCGGCUAUUAGGGAUGAACCAACGUGGAAGGAGCUGAGCACGUAUUGACGGUACCGGGUAAGAAAGCCACGGCUAACUACGUG